GAAAGAAAUCUAAACGACCCGACCUUUGGUCUGCCCGAUUUGUCGUGUUUGACUGAGACUGAACGGAUGCAAGUCAUAGCCGUCAUGCAACGAGCAAAGGAAUUUGAAUUUGAGGAAGAAAAGAAAAUGAUGUCACCAAGGAAACCAAUGGAAG